rnacentral:rRNA from 1 species
GACGAACGCUGGCGGCGUGCUUAACACAUGCAAGUCGAACGAUGAAGCCGGAGCUUGCUCUGGUGAAUUAGUGGCGAACGGGUGAGUAACACGUGAGUAACCUGCCCUUGACUCUGGGAUAACUGCUAGAAAUGGUAGCUAAUACCGGAUACGACCCUCGGAGGCAUCUCCAGGGGGUGGAAAGAAUUUCGGUCAAGGAUGGACUCGCGGCCUAUCAGCUUGUUGGUGAGGUAACGGCUCACCGAGGCGACGACGGGUAGCCGGCCUGAGAGGGUGACCGGCCACACUGGGGCUGAGACACGGCCCAGACUCCUACGGGAGGCAGCAGUGGGGAAUAUUGCACAAUGGGCGCAAGCCUGAUGCAGCAACGCCGCGUGAGGGAUGAAGGCCUUCGGGUUGUAAACCUCUUUUAGCAGGGAAGAAGCGAAAGUGACGGUACCUGCAGAAAAAGCACCGGCUAACUACGUGCCAGCCGCCGCAGUAA